CACGCCGUAAACGAUGUCGACUAGCCGUUGGAGACCUUAGAGUCUUUAGUGGCGCAGCUAACGCGAUAAGUCGACCGCCUGGGGAGUACGGCCGCAAGGUUAAAACUCAAAUGAAUUGACGGGGGCCCGCACAAGCGGUGGAGCAUGUGGUUUAAUUCGAUGCAACGCGAAGAACCUUACCACCCCUUGACAUCCUGCGAACUUUCCAGAAAUGGAUUGGUGCCUUCGGGAGCGCAGAGACAGGUGC
rnacentral:rRNA from 1 species